rnacentral:rRNA from 1 species
UACGUAGGGGGCAAGCGUUGUCCGGAUUUAUUGGGCGUAAAGAGCGUGUAGGCGGCCAGAUAGGUCUGCUGUGAAAACUCGAGGCUUAACCUCGAGAUGUCGGCGGAAACCAUCUGGCUAGAGUCCGGAAGAGGAGAGUGGAAUUCCUGGUGUAGCGGUGAAAUGCGCAGAUAUCAGGAGGAACACCGGUGGCGAAGGCGGGACUCUGGGCCGAUACUGACGCUGAGGAGCGAAAGCGUGGGGAGCAAACAGG